GCACAACUCACCUAGAGACUAUACGGAAGCUACAAUAUCGAUGGUACAUGGUACCGGAGAAGCUAGCAGCGCUUUACCCACACUCGCCCAACAUUUGUUGGAGAUGUGGAGCCGUGGGAGGCUCGAUGAGCCAUAUAUGGUGGACAUGCACGCAAAUCAGGCAAUACUGGAAAGACGUGGAAAAUAUAGCAGGGAACCUGCUAGGCAGAAGUUGGCCACUCACUAUUGAACAAAGCAUC